CAGCCUGGUUCAAUGUGCCCCUUUUUAACUUUGAGCACCCGCCCCUUUAAACCUCUCUGCACGGCCCUGCUUAUAUAUGUAUUCUUUGUAUGUAUUCUUCAGUAUUUUUUAAUAAUGUAUGUCACUUUUUGUCAUUUCAGUUGCUCUCUCUGCCGACAUUCUCCCUUCAGUACCAAGCAUUUACAAUUUGAGAAUUUGAAACAUUAUUUUGACAUCAUUAGUAUUUCAUCAGUUCAGGUUUAACACAGCUGUGUCUUCAUUUUUUGCAGUCUCUCCCACAGAAGUGAACAUUACAGUGAUUUCAGAGGACUCAUUUGAGUGUUUGACAGAAGCCAACCCAAGUGCAAACUUUAUCUGGAGCAGAUCUGGAGAGUCUUUGCUGCAGUCUGCUGUCAGAGUGGAGGGUGCAAAACUACAACUGCUGAGUCUAAACUCCGAUCUAAAUGGCCUCUAUCAGUGUGAAGCAUCUAACGCUUAUGGAAGUAAACACGGUUGGCUCCAUGUGCAUGUGGCAUCAGGAGCAUGCUCUGCUGCUUGGGCCUUAUUUCUUGUUUUGCUUUUCCUGAGUGUUGUGGGGACGGCAGCAUGGUGCUUUUAUAAAUCUGGACAUUUUCAAAGCAUCCUCUGACAGCUGUGGGCUCAUGUAAUGGACCACAUCUGGACUGAAGGCUCCACCAGCGUGUUCCAGGGUCAGCUGGUAGAUGAACAGGUUGAGGUGCUUUUAUAUUCCUGAAUCCAUUUUUUAAAAUUCAUAUAUAUGAAUGUUUCUGUCUUGCUGUUACUAUACUUUAUAUUUGCAGUAAUUACAGUAUUUUAAAAGCAAAACAUUGUUAAUUGACUCCCACUCUGCCACAGCAGUUUGGAUGUGGCUGUUCCUUUGUUUUGAUGUGUAACAACAUUAAUGGCAAUUGAGAGCUGUGCUUGUGUUCCUACCAAGAGUGUGAACUGCUUUCAUCAGAAGCUGUAUUAAUGUAGUUACUGUAAAUUCAUUUGUUUAUUUUCCCCCACCUGGAUAUUAGUAUGUCCCUUCAUUAAGGGUAACAAUGUUAAUGUUACGUUUUAAGUUUACAAUCUAAUGCAAGGACAAGUUCUGACAUAUCAACCAUUCAUAUGUAACAACAGACGUAUUACCAGUAAACUACAGAAGCCCAUGCAGACAGUUUAAUACAGCACUCAGAAAGCACAAACAUUCACACCAGACUCAGAAAAGAGGUUGGUUGGGAGCACCUCUGCCACUGAGCUGCAAUUUAAACUAUGGAGCCUCCUUCCUGAUUUCUUUUCUUUUUUUGUCACAUUUAAAUGUUUCGGAUCAUGAAACAAAUUUGUAUAGCGACAUCAUGUCCUAGUACAGAUCAUUAUGUAAAUGGUAAAUGGCCUGUAUUUGUAUAGCGCUUUACUAGUCCCUAAGGACCCCAAAGCGCUUUACACAACCUGUCAUCCACCCAUUCACACACACAUGAACGCAGCUACAUUGUAGCCACAGCCACCCUGGUGCGCACUGACAGAGGGGAGGCCACCGGGCCCUCUGACCAUGUAUAUUAUGUAACCGGGUUCUGUCACUAGUUAGCUAACAUAAGCUAAUGGAAGUCUAUUUGUCGCAACCAACCAACCAACCAACUCAACUGAUGUGAUAUUCUGUACUGGCGCUAAUCAAAAACUUUAAGCACUUAUUUCUUCAAUCCAGACUGACGGGCAGUGUUAAUUCUAUGUCAGUUUUUGAGAGCAGGGCUCCAUGAUGUAAAUUAGACUCUAUGCAUGUAGUGUUUCAUGUGCACUUUAAAACAGUGGUUCAAAAUCUGUUGGGCAUACCCUGCUGGAAGUCAUGCUGUAAAACCAUGGAUCACCAGGGUGGGUGAGGGGGUUUGGGACUGAGGUGAAAUAAAGGUAAACUGAUGUUUUUGUAUGUUUGUUUGUUGGUUGAUUAAAUGUAAAUGUCAGCAAAACAGAAGUCUGAUUAUGUGUAAAUGCUGACCUUUAACAUUAUAUCAUCUUGCACAUUACUGGUUGUUAAUGACUGAUGACAGAAACUGCACAAGGAUGAAACUUUAAGAGUUAGGGCAUGGCAGAAGAUGUUUGAGAAACACUUUCCUAAAGCAUUACACAGUUGGGCUCGUGUGUGUAAAGUUUUUAUCACAAUUAAUUUUAUAUCAUAUAUCUCACACUGGAGUUUCAAAUGUGGCAGCUUUUUGUAAAACAUUAAAUCAUUAAAGCAUGGUGUUUUUUAUCUGCAUAUUAAAUGGAUCAGUCUACAUGUACAUUACUUUUAAUAUGUUCUUUAAUGAAAAUUUUAAAAUGGAAGUUUGUCUUUGAAUUGUUUUUAUUAUUUUGUGUAACAUUACUGAUUUUUAUGUAAUCUAUUUCACUGUUGUCUGCAACAUGCAAAAAAAACUAAAUGUGUGCCCUAGUUUUAUUCUUCUUAAGUAAUGUACGAGCAUUAUUUCCUUUGUAUAUGUGUUUUAAUCUAUUUAGUGCUUCUACUCUCUGAUUUAUAUUUGUUGUACAUUUUGUGGGGCACCUCUCACAUAAAUGUGUUUUGAAAAUGGUUUGGUUGUCCUCUUUUAACUGUUCACCCCUGAAUAAGGGGAUAGUGGAUGGACGGAAGACAAUAGUAGGACCAGGAAAAGACAAAGCCUGCUGAGACUGCUCUGCCACUAUAUCAACCAAACAAAAGGAGAGGCAUAAGGAUUACUCACAGGUCUCAUGUAAAACUCAGGCAAAGCACACCACAGUACCUCACUGUUCUCACGGCUGGUCCAGAACACUAAGCUACUUAACACUGACCUGUAAAUCAUUCAUGCAUUAAACAAAAGGCACCAAACUCAGGAGAUGAGCCAGUGUUGUGUCUACAAGUAAUAGAUAGCUUAGCAAAGAACCAAUUUUAAAUGAUCGCAUGACCAGUUAAUCAUACUUACAUCCUUCUUCUGUUUCAUCCCAGCUCCAAUUUAAAAACAACAAACAAACUGUGUUUAGUACUUUAUAAGUGUCACAAACAGACGGGCGGAUGGUGAUGAUGAAAUUAGUACAAGUAGGAAAUAAUAUAAACAUCUCAUCAUUCUCAUCAUCAUUUUUAGCAUUAAGUAUUAUAGUCAAUAACACAAUAAAAUAGAAUGUUAACCAUAGGAUAGAAGCAGAUAAUACAAAAAGGAAUAGACAGAAUCAAAGCUACAGUGGACUGGAUCUCAUCAACACUGCCCUCUAGUGGACACAAAGGCAAAAAACACAAAAAUCACCUUAUUAGCCCGUUAAUUGGCCGUUUUUGACAACUUUCGAUUUUACCUUUAUAUUUCACCUUUAAAAACGAUUUACCUUGAAUUGUUUGGUAUCAUUUUUACAGCAACUUCAUGUGUCAUGUUUUAAAGGGUUUUUUUUUUCAUAUUGUAUUUAUACACUAGAACUACAA